rnacentral:rRNA from 1 species
AGUGGCGGACGGGUGAGUAACGCGUGAGAAUCUGCCUUGGGGUCGGGGACAACCACUGGAAACGGUGGCUAAUACCGGAUACGCCUUCGGGUAAAAGAUUUAUUGCCCUAAGAGGAGCUCGCGUCUGAUUAGCUAUUUGGUGAGGUAAGAGCUCACCAAGGCAGCGAUCAGUAGCUGGUCUGAGAGGACGAUCAGCCACACUGGGACUGAGACACGGCCCAGACUCCUACGGGAGGCAGCAGUGGGGAAUUUUCCGCAAUGGGCGAAAGCCUGACGGAGCAAGACCGCGUGAGGGAGGAAGGCUCUUGGGUUGUAAACCUCUUUUCUCAGGGAAGAAGCUCUGACGGUACCUGAGGAAUCAGCCUCGGCUAACUCCGUGCCAGCAGCCGCGGUAAUACGGAGGAGGCAAGCGUUAUCCGGAAUUAUUGGGCGUAAAGCGUCCGCAGGUGGCGAUUCAAGUCUGCUGUCAAAGCACGGGGCUUAACUCCGUAAAGGCAGUGGAAACUGAAUAGCUAGAGUGCCGUAGGGGUAGAGGGAAUUCCCGGUGUAGCGGUGAAAUGCGUAGAGAUCGGGAAGAACAUCGGUGGCGAAAGCGCUCUACUGGACGGCAACUGACACUCAGGGACGAAAGCUAGGGGAGCGAAUGGGAUUAGAUACCCC